AAAAAGAGACAACAAAACAGGAAAGAAAAGUGAA
rnacentral:sRNA from 1 species